CCCAGCGGGCCGGGGGGCCCCCAGAGCAGGAUUUCUCCACACUGCUCACCCGAGGCCUGGAGCGGCAGCUCGCUCGCUCCCUCCGCGCCGGGGGCCACGCCGGGGCGGCUCGGCCCUACGAGAUCACAGAGCUGUGCUCCCAGCGAUCGCCUGACCCCCAGCUGUGUCUCUUCCCCACCACCCCGGACGUGCUCAUCCCCUCCCGCUCCGUCACCAGCGAGGGCUGGACUCGUUAACGACGUCGGCGUUUAAGUGAUGGGUGCGGACUCGGAACCGGGCCGUUCACACCCCUGCAAGCGGCUGGGCAGGACUCCGCCCCUCCGGGUUUCACCCUCUCACCUAGA